GAUGCUAUGGUCCACAUUACCCAAAAAAAGCGACUUUUAAUGUGAACGUACUCUGAGCCGGACAUGACGUCAUACGCACUGCGGACUUCCGCUCGAGUCGGUCUCAGUACUGGCGUAAAUUGUGGCAAUUUCAAACAUUUUGUGUUAUCAAAGUCAACAUUUUCUGAAUCAAAUUAUGGCCGGAGAAGAUUAAGAAGGAAAAGGACAAGUAUUUUGCGGGACAUUUUUGCUUCGACGUCUGCUCGAAGAGCGUGUCUGUGGGCGAGCAGGCGGAGACAGGAGUGGUGGAACUUUCACGUCUGAAUACUUGCUAAGUUCCCGCCUGCUGCUGUGUUAAAAAGUUGCAUACCGCCACCUGCUGCAUGGAAAUGUAACCACAAUCUAAAAUCACGACAAAUGUGUCUGUGGCGGACCAUUGUAGGAAUGAGAAACACUACAGAAGGUACCACCAGGUCCUGGACACUUCAUGGUCAUUUUGAACGGCAGAGCUCCAGGAACACUCCAACAGUGCAGGAUCAGACCACCAAUACUGGGGGAGACGGCAGCACGGGAGUCACAUGAAUGCCGGGUCUUGUCCGGGCAGAGAGAAGGAAACAUACCAGCUCACCUGCUGAUGGACAUGGCCAAGAUCACCGGCUGCCAGCCUGACCUCAAGACCUCUGUGACGGGCGGAGACUGGCGGGCGACGAGCACACAGACCGGCACCAGAAGCAGGAAGAAGCCACACACUGCAGGAGCACAGGAAGAAGCUGCUGAUCCCUGCCAGCAAAGACAAAGUGAUGAGGUCACCCAGGCUCGCAGCGAUGGGCGUGGCUACGUUAUCUGGGUUGACGCCCACUCUCCUGGAGCACACGAUCACCGCCACCAUCACCAGACCUGGCCAAGGACAAGAAGAAGAUGACGACCAGAUUCCACAGCGGAGACUCCAUUCUCAACAUACUUGCACGAUAUCCAUGACUAUGCCGGCCGCCACCAUGCCCAGACCGGACACCAGGUACGGCACCAGCACCUGGGCGGCGAUGAUCCAAGAACUCUCGGGGAGGAAGCCGUG